CGGGUGCACUGAUCCAGCCGGGCCUUUCCCUCUGUGGAACCCCAUGGCCUUCACUGGCUGUGGUGGGGAAACAGGACUUUUACUUUGAAAAAAUUAGAGUGCUCCAGGCAGGCCUAUGCUCGAAUACAUUAGCAUGGAAUAAUAGAAUAGGACGUGUGGUUCUAUUUUGUUGGUUUCUAGGACCGCCGUAAUGAUUAAUAGGGACAGUCGGGGGCAUCAGUAUUCAAUUGUCAGAGGUGAAAUUCUUGGAUCUAUUGAAGACUAACUACUGCGAAAGCAUUUGCCAAGGAUGUUUUCAUUGAUAAGGAACGAAAGUUAGGGGAUCGAAGACGAUCAGAUACCGUCGUAGUCUUAACUAUAAACUAUGCCGACUAGGGAUCGGACGAUGUUAUUCUUUGACGCGUUCGGCACCUUUCGAGAAAUCAAAGUGCUUGGGCUCCGGGGGGAGUAUGGUCGCAAGGCUGAAACUUAAAGAAAUUGACGGAAGGGCACCACCAGGGGUGGAACCUGCGGCUUAAUUUGACUCAACACGGGGAAACUCACCAGGUCCAGACACAGUGAGGAUUGACAGAUUGAGAGCUCUUUCUUGAUUCUGUGGGUGGUGGUGCAUGGCCGUUCUUAGUUGGUGGAGUGAUUUGUCUGCUUAAUUGCGAUAACGAACGAGACCUUAACCUGCUAAAUAGCCCGUACUGCUUUGGCAGUUCGCCGGCUUCUUAGAGGGACUAUCGG
rnacentral:rRNA from 1 species